rnacentral:lncRNA from 1 species
ACCAAAAGGUUCGGGCACAUGUGGCUUGAUUGCUUCGAUACAGUUCUGACCAUUUUUCUUAUGUUCUUUUGUUUUCAUAGGACAAAGUUUUGUACCAUAACCAUAGAGAUGUAUGGCCAUAACUUUUCAGUUUGUUGUAGCAACGUGUCUUCCAUGACGAUUACGUUAAAAUAUUUGGAGGCAAACGGUUUAUAUAUAAACAUAUUGCUUAUGUUGUUUGAGCAGAGAUGAAACGAUAUCGACGUAUUGGAAAAAUAUUCUUAUACUUGAAGAAAAUAGAUGAUAUGAUAAGCCUGGAAUGCAAAGGAGUUUCGUUCUUCCGCCAGACGUGGUUGCCAAAUAUUUGACUCAAAAUAUCAUUCUACAUAAAUAAUGUCAAAUAAGAAGAAGGACAGAACGCCAUUCCUGUCACAUGCGAGGCCAUAGCGGUUCAUCACCUAACCACGAGCGCAAGAAAGACCAAAUCACCUAGCAUCCGCUCGCACUAGUUAUUUUGUUGCUAAGAAUGGCAAGCGAGAGGAUCGGGAAGUUGGAUCGUUCUGUUCGUCGAAACAAAAGGUUUCCUCGAUCGGGUAUAAGUUCCGAGGUAAACAUAAAUUUCACGCGUAGAAGCUCGAAGCUACGAUAUCCAAAGGGUUGAACGUGUCAUCCUAUCGAGUCCUCCUCGGAUUCCCUGUUUAACGACACCGUGACAGCUGAAGGGGCGAGCAACUGUAUGCGUAUAUACGUCUUUGUACGGCAUCGCGAUCCGUAAGAAGAAAAGAAGACGAAGAAAAGCAGAAGAAGAAGAAGAAGGAGACGAUGGAGGCAGAACGAAGCUGAACGGGCAAGGGGAGACGGAGGAGAGCACGAGGAACGAGACAGAGGCCUGGAUGACGACGAUGCACCGUUCGACCAGUAAAAACCGGGGAAAAAGUGCUCUGGUGUUCAGCUAAUCCUUUUUUUGUCUCGAUUCUGUGCAUCGUGUACCGACAGUAAACACCACUUAUAGCGUACAGAGAAGAAUGCACGGACAAGGAGAAUGGAAGGGAUGAAAACGGUAGAAAGGGAAGGGAGAGCCUGGAAGGAGAUGUUCGUCCGGUGGUGAAGUCAAAAAUAGGACGCAUGGUCACCAGCAUAUUUCCAUAAAUGAGUUCUCCGGUUACAGAAUCUAUUUGCGUUCUGGGCCGGCGACCGGAGCUGCAGCCAAUUACAAUCGGUUCCAGGACGAUUUACGAAUUCUGCGACAGAUCUAGGGAUCUAUUGUGCGCAGUAAUCCACGAAGUUGUUGAAACAGGAGAGUAAAAACCGCGUUCUUUCAUUCUUGCGGAGUAUAAUGAUUGCAAAGAUUGUGAUUACGAAAGAGGGGGUUAGAGAACAUGACGUCAGUGAGCUUCUGUGACGUAAUUGGACUUCGAUGUAUAUGUACUUAGGGAUUUGUAUUAAGUCAUGAGUAAUGCGAUUUUCCUGAGAGCAGGCUUUUAAACGACGAAGCUAGCUAUGAUCCUUUGAUUGUGAGUUUUGUAAAAAAGGAUAUAGCAAAGUGAUAAACAAUUUUAGCAGAUGGAUG